UUAUUCACAUAAAUCAAAUGUUUAUUUUUACAUAUACAUAUGUAUGCAUGUGCAGUUAAUAACGAAUGCAAUUAAUAACUGUAAUCACUUAAAUUUUCGAAAUAAAAAUUAAUUACCGGAAAGCUUCGAAUCGAUCAAAAGAUAGUAUCGAUGCAUGAAUAUACAGCGGUAAUGAUACAAUUGUGAGGGCCUGUGCUUUAGUGGGUGAUACAGGAAAUGAUGAUGAAUUCCACAAUUGUUUGUGAAUUAACAUGCAUAAAUUUUAUCAGAUAAAAUUAUUUUGAAUUAAAAUUAUAAAUUAGAGAGCAAGGUAAGGAUUACUUUAGCUUAGAAGUUAGUUUGGCAUUACUUUGUGAUAAAAUUCAGAACUUUUUAAUAAACUUCGCGGUACUUCUUCACGAGUCCGGAACGAUGUGAACAAAGGAUUUACUAGCACUUCAGUUUGGUAGUGAUGUUUUUACUUUAUUUAGUAACCUUUUCAAAAAUUAUUGUAAUUAUAUAAUAACAGCGCCUACGCUAGCUACGUCGUCCCAUUGGAUGAAUACACUCCAGCCCUGAGGGUAUUCUGUGCAGUACCCGCCGGGGAAGCAGAGGAAGAGGAAGACGUCCACUCCAGCGAAAAGGAAGAACGACUAGCUUGCGGUUGUAAACUCGGCUAUAACCGCAUAAGCGGUGUCUACGCCAAUAAAGGAUAACAGUUAUAUAUAUUUCUUUCGUCACUUCUUACUUACCGUUUUUAACUCGAAAAAAAAAUACAAAUAAAAUAUGUUUUUUCCAAAUUCAUAACAAAUAAAAUACUAUAUGUACAUAUGUAUAUUUGAAAUGCUUUAUAAAUGAACACAUUCAAACUUUGAUUACAUAAUGUUACUACAAUCUGCAAA